ACAUCAUCUUGGGGACCAUUCAUAGGAGACAAACUGCACUUUGGGGUACUCACUUUAGGAGCUGAGGGAAGCAGGAUGCCUUACAGAUGGGAGUGGGACACGGGACAUUUGCAUGGAGCAGCAAUGUUCUUGCAGCGCCAGCCCCAUGGGUGGCCUCCAUCUCGGUGGAGGCUCUGUCUUGGCACUGCCAUCUGCUCAGAGUGAGCAGGCUUUUGUGAGAAGCUGUGGGAGGAUAAGCCUGGCUGAUUGGCUGGAGCCAUGCCCAGAGUGCCCAGAUGUACAUUUGCCCCAAAAGAGGGGGCACAGCUGGGGUUCACUGUCUCCCUGGAGGCUUGGUUUUUCUGGUACAGCUCAACGCUGCCUCCCACUUUCCUGCGGUGCAUUCUGCUCAGCUGGGCGGUGAGGAGAGGGCGCAGAGCGGCACCAUGAGCUCCCUCACUGCCGUCUGCCUGCCAUUUGCUGCCACUGGGGACCUGAGACUGCUUCCAUGGAAACAGAACCAUGGAUUGUUUUUCCAGAAAACGUCUCAAUCUAAUUUGUGUAGAGCUGCGUUGUGUGUGUGGACAUGUGUGUGUGCUUCAGUUGCAGAAGGGGGUGAGAAGCGGGAAGAGGGAAUUUGCAUAGAACCUCCAAUUUUCCUCAAUUCCCAGGGAGUAGAUGAUUCCAGGUACUUACUGAGGCAAGCGGGAUAGUGCUACCAUCUUGAUCCGAACACAGAGCACACUUUUGGAGCUCGUCUUUGGAAAUGGUCUUGGGAGACUUGCUCCAUUCCUUUGCAUGCCAUCACUGGAUCCAAUGGAGAAAGUGAAAAGUAUAGCCAUCGGGCUGGACUGCAGAGCUGGUUGUCAAGGGUCAUCUACAAGGUCAGAGGAGGGUCAGUUUGUGUAGCCACCAUCAAAGCUUUAGGAGGACAUGGGACCAAGUAAGAUGCCGGCUCCUUGCAGACCCAAGUGUGUCCAUCGUGUUCGUGUGGGGGCACCGCUCCCCACCUCAAAGAGCUCAUAGUGCUUUCUUCAUUACUGGUCCAUCAGAGCGGAACCUUGCUGUGUGACGCAGGCUGGAGUGCAGUGGUGCCAUCUCAGCUCACAGAAACCUUCUGGGUUCAAGCAAUUCUCCAGCCUUUACCUCCUGAGUAGCUGGGACUACAGUUUCUUUGUCAUGUCACUUGACUUCCAGAAGACACCAUCAUCUCCAAUGCUGGGAUGGCACAGGAACCUAAGGUAACUCCCAGAGCUCUGCUCAGCCACAAGGGGAGAAUGGCCUCUUACAAGCGUCCCAGAAUCAUUAGGAACUUACACUCUACCAUCAAACCAUCAGGCCGAUGCCAUCCCAAGGGCAGUGCAGCCCAUCCAAGGUUCUCCAUCAAGCACUGCUGACCUCACAGGCUUUGAUCCAUGAGGGGUUAAAGAAAUCUCUUCCCUUUUUAGUUUUACCUAACGCUGCUUGUUGUAAACGUUUUUGUGUCAAGACAUGAGAGGAGCAGCCUAAAAGUAAAGUGGGUUGCAAGUGAGCCCCAAUCCUCAGCAGUUUCCAAUUUGCUCUUUCGUUGUUGGCUGCCCCCCAUCCACGAUAAGAUGAUUCAAUUCUCAUAUACUCAUUACAUUUGUGUUAGGUCAUGCCACGUUGUAUUUUAGAACAUUGCUCAAAAAUGGGUUUGAUGGAUGACAUUAAUUUUUGUUCUUAGAAACUGCCUGUCUUUUCCUCUUUUUGUCUCUACUCUCCACAACCCCCUACUCAGGCACCUGCUAUCAAUUUGACUUGCAUGUAACUAGAAUUCUCAGAACUUGUUGGUUGCUCCUGCUGGCUCCUGUCUGCGUGUGCCAAGAGGACAUGCAGGCACUGUGACACAGGAAAAACUGAAGAGGAAAAUGGGAGGAUGGAGGAUGUACUGGAAGAUCCAACGGUGGGACUUGAUGACAUGACUGGAAAUGGACCAACUGUCUCUGAAAGUGAGGACAUGGGCGAGACUUAGGAGUGAAAGACCAAGUACAAGGUGAACUGAAGGGUCUCGCUCUGUUGCUCUGACUGGAGUGCCACAGCACAAUCAUGGCUCAUUGCAGCUUCAACCUCCUGGGUCAAUCUCUCCUCCAGCCCCAGCCUCCCAAGUAGCUGAGACUACAGGGUCUCGUUCUGUCGCCCAGGCUGGAGUGCACUGUCACACCAUGUGUGCACUCACGUUCAGCCUCAGCUCAUGCACAGUGUGCCAGCACAGCCCACUGCUCACUGCAGUCUCCACUUCCCAGGCUCAUGCGAUCCUCCCACCUCAGCCUCCUGAGUAGCUGCAACUACAUGUACCCACCACCACACCUGGCUAUUUUUUGUAGAGAUAGGUUUUCGCUAUGUUACCCAGGAUGGUCUCAAACUACAAGGCUCAAGAAAUCUACCUGCCUCAGCCUCCCAAAGUGCUGGAAUUACAGGUGUGAGCUACCACGCCCAGUCAUAAUACUCAAUCUUCUUAAAUAUUUCCAGACAUUCUGCCUGGUACCUAAGAAGGUCAGACUCUAAUAAUGUAUCAUCUAUAAUCUUGAAAUGAUUGUACUGCCUAUCUGUGGACAAACGCUGUUGGACCUUUUAUGACUCAACUCUGACUCCAUCCACUCCAGCAGAAUUUACUUUUUAAAUGAAUCUGACAUAUUUGGAUUUUGAUUCUAAGAAAAGUGGUACCUUGAU